AACGCGGCAGUAAUUUGCUGCGGUAACUGUGACGCUACUCGUCUGCUCCGAAUCUUGGAAAUUACGAAAAUCAAUUACAUUAUUUAUUACGAAACUGAAUGAAAUGGAGCAGAAAACUCUCACUCCUAAAUGCAUACAAUAUCACUAAUCAUGUUAUACGAACCUAGAAAUUAUUACAUCAUAUCCUAUUUCCAUGAUACAUAUUUUAAUAGUUUUUGCCAGCUUUAUCGAUCGCGAUUUGUGCAACGAUUUAAAUAACUUUCCCGCUACUACUUGUCCCUUUUAUCAUAUAGUGUGUGUCAUUUAACUGGAAAUGUAAUACCUGGAAAUGCCUAAAUAAACAUCUUAAUUUCUCGAAAACUAUAGGCGAUACGGAAAAAUGUUUGAAGCGAACGUUAUAUAAUAUCAAGGGAGGCAUUUCAUAUCGAUAUUUAUUUUGCAAUGAUCUUAAAAAGAUCUAUGAAGAUCUUUAUUUUUAAAUGGCAACUAUAUUUUUUAUUUCAUAUUCUUGCAGCCGAUAUCGAAAAGUUUUCAGAACACUACCUACUUGCAUCUUUCGUAUAAAUUACUAUCGAGACAUUAAAUUUCAAAUAUGAUGCGUCAUCAGGGUCUUAACGUUAUCCAUUGUAAACAACGGGGUGGUUACUCGGUCGGGCUUUGUACAUUAUAGUGGCUCUAGAAAAUAAGUGUAUGUCAAAUUCUAUCCUUAAAGCAAUUAGUCGCUUUUCCUCCUAUGCGUCUACCAUUAAAAGGUAUACAAUUUUGUAUCCUUCUUAAGAAUUAGUAUCUCGAUAGUAGUUCAUGAGAAAGUUACAAAUAAAUAACGUUUUGAAAACGCUUCGAUAUCUGCUACAAGAAUAUGUAAUAAAAGAAUAUAGUUGCCGUUUAAAAACAUAAACGUGACAUGUACAGAGAUUUUCAAGGUCGUCGCACAGUAAGAUAAAUAGCGAUAUGACAUGUCUUCUUUACCAUCGUGCAGCAUUUGUUUCAAACAUUUCUUUGUAUCGCAUAGUUUUCGAAAUAUUUACAUAUUUACACAUGUUUACAAAUAAAUGGAACACACUGUGUAUUGCUGUUACAGGCAUGGCUUAAUUUACAAAUUAUUUUUUAAAACACGUUAACCCGGCAUACAUACAAUGUCACUGUAUAAACAUUGAAAUGAAAGUAGCAUUCGUGUUGCUCGUGGUCUACAAAAGUUAUCGGGAAACUCCAAGAAAAUAAAAGGAAAUGAUGACACUGAUUAUUAUGGUUCACGGCAAUAACUAGCAACAUUGUCAAGAGACUCGUUAGCUUUAUGAUCGAGAGUGCAGUGAUAAACUAUCUUUGCUGUUAAAGACGGUAAAACAUGUGUUAGUAUAAUCAUCGAUGGCAAUAAGUAGCCAGAAUACUUUGGAUUUCGUUAAUUGAAUUAAAGUGGAUCAUAAUUGCGAAUAAAUUGCAAUAAAAUAAGUGGUGUACUAUUAUUAUACAAUACUAUUUAGUAUUGAUAUUUUCCAGCAAGUUAUGCUUUGUCUAACAGGUUCAUCAUCAGACAUCUUGAAAAAAGUUUGACGUAUGCAGUGGUAAAAAGUAAUAUACGUCAUCGAAUGGUAUGCCGAAAACACAUACAUAUGUUUAUCGUAGAUCUGUUGUAAUUACGUUUCAACAGAAGCGAACUGCACUAAGUCACAGUUCGGUUUGUAUUCACAAGUGAAGCUGUCUACAUUGCCAGACAAUUGUCCACAGAAACAUGAUGCAGCCAAUCAGUAUCUGUCUUUUUGCGGAUUUUUUACGAUGAUUGUCUACGAUACGUGUUUGCGGGCAAUCGUCUAUCAGUGUAGAAUUAGCUUAAGCAAAUACAAUCAAAAUCAAAUAGAACCAGUAAAAUUUAAGUAAGGCCGGCGAGUUCCCGAUAAAUUUAUCACUUCUGCAGCAGCUAAUAUUGUCACUUGUAAUGUACUUUCGUUUUGAGGUUCAAGGUUAACAGAGGAUCACCUUGAUACAAGUAAAUUCAUUCUCUUAUCGAUUCACUAAUAAGAAUAUGCAGUUUUAUCCCAGAAAAUUUAAGGUUCUCUAGAAUUUGAAAGAAACAAGUAGAAAUAAUUUAUUCAAUGUUUCAAAGAAUCUGAAAGAAUAGAUAAAAAUGCAUUCAUUAAAGACAAUCUUUUUAAAUGCAAUUCAUUUUAUAUAGAAAACUUUCUAUUUUCAAUUUAAUAAGCAAUAAGAUAUUUUAAACAGCUUAUUGACUUGCCCUAU